AAUGGGCGGAAGCCUGAUCCAGCCAUGCCGCGUGUGUGAAGAAGGCCUUUUGGUUGUAAAGCACUUUAAGCGAGGAGGAGGCUACUAGUACUAAUACUACUGGAUAGUGGACGUUACUCGCAGAAUAAGCACCGGCUAACUCUGUGCCAGCAGCCGCGGUAAUACAGAGGGUGCGAGCGUUAAUCGGAUUUACUGGGCGUAAAGCGUGCGUAGGCGGCUGAUUAAGUCGGAUGUGAAAUCCCUGAGCUUAACUUAGGAAUUGCAUUCGAUACUGGUCAGCUAGAGUAUGGGGGAGGAUGGUAGAAUUCCAGGUGUAGCGGUGAAAUGCGUAGAGAUCUGGAGGAAUACCGAUGGCGAAGGCAGCCAUCUGGCCUAAUACUGACGCUGAGGUACGAAAGCAUGGGGAGCAAACAGGAUUAGAUACCCUGGUAGUCCAUGCCGUAAACGAUGUCUACUAGCCGUUGGGGCCUUUGAGGCUUUAGUGGCGCAGCUAACGCGAUAAGUAGACCGCCUGGGGAGUA
rnacentral:rRNA from 1 species